ACUCCUACGGGAGGCAGCAGUGGGGAAUAUUGCAGCAAUGGGCGCAAGCCUGGAUGCAGCCAUGCCGCGUGUGUGAAGAAGGCCCUCGGGUUGUAAAGCACUUUCAGUCGUGAGGAAGGUAGUGUAGUUAAUAGCUUAGCUUGACUUUUUAACGUUAGCGACAGAAGAAGCACCGGCUAACUCCGUGCCAGCAGCCGCGGUAAUACGGAGGGUGCGAGCGUUAAUCGGAAUUACUGGGCGUAAAGCGCAUGCAGGUGGUUUGUUAAGUCAGAUGUGAAAGCCCGGGGCUCAACCUCGGAAUUGCAUUUGAAACUGGCAGACUAGAGUACUGUAGAGGGGGGUAGAAUUUCAGGUGUAGCGGUGAAAUGCGUAGAGAUCUGAAGGAAUACC
rnacentral:rRNA from 1 species